rnacentral:rRNA from 1 species
GGACGAACGCUGGCGGCGCGCUUAACACAUGCAAGUCGAGCGAUGAAAUCUUGACAGAACCCUUCGGGGUGAAGAUAAGAUGGAUUAGCGGCGGACGGGUGAGUAACACGUGAGUAACCUGCCUUAGACAUUGGGAUAGCCUCGGGAAACCGGGAUUAAUACCAAAUGAAAUCACAUAUGCACAUGCAUAAAUGAUCAAAGCUCCGGCGGUCUAAGAUGGACUCGCGUCCCAUUAGCUAGUUGGUGAGGUAACGGCCCACCAAGGCGACGAUGGGUAGCCGGCCUGAGAGGGUGAACGGCCACAUUGGAACUGAGAAACGGUCCAAACUCCUACGGGAGGCAGCAGUGGGGAAUAUUGCACAAUGGAGGGAACUCUGAUGCAGCGACGCCGCGUGAACGAAGAAGGCUUCCGAGUCGUAAAGUUCUUUUAUGUGGGAAGAUAAUGACGGUACCAUAAGAAAAAGCCCCGGCUAACUACGUGCCAGCAGCCGCGGUAAUACGUAGGGGGCUAGCGUUGUCCGGAAUCACUGGGCGUAAAGGGUUCGCAGGCGGAAAUGCAAGUCAGGUGUAAAAGGCAGUAGCUUAACUACUGUAAGCAUUUGAAACUGCAUAUCUUGAGAAGAGUAGAGGUAAGUGGAAUUUUUAGUGUAGCGGUGAAAUGCGUAGAUAUUAAAAAGAAUACCGGUGGCGAAGGCGACUUACUGGGCUCAUUCUGACGCUGAGGAACGAAAGCGUGGGUAGCAAACAGGAUUAGAUACCCUGGUAGUCCACGCUGUAAACGAUGAGUGCUAGGUAUCGGAAAAAUUCGGUGCCGCAGUUAACACAUUAAGCACUCCGCCUGGGGAGUACGUGCGCAAGCAUG